UACAGAGGGUGCAAGCGUUGUUCGGAAUUAUUGGGCGUAAAGGGCGCGUAGGCGGCUUGAUAAGCGUGCGGUGAAAGCCCGGGGCUCAACCCCGGGUCGGCCGUGCGAACUGUCGAGCUGGAGCACUGUAGAGGCAGGUGGAAUUCCGGGUGUAGCGGUGGAAUGCGUAGAGAUCCGGAAGAACACCGGUGGCGAAGGCGGCCUGCUGGGCAGUGGCUGACGCUGAGGCGCGACAGCGUGGGGAGCAAACAGG
rnacentral:rRNA from 1 species